UGGGGAAUCUUGCGCAAUGGGCGAAAGCCUGACGCAGCGACGCCGCGUGAGCGAUGAAGGCCUUCGGGUUGUAAAGCUCUGUGGGGAGAGAAGAAUAAGGCGGUGCUAAUCAGCCGCUGAUGACGGUAUCUCCUUAGCAAGCACCGGCUAACUCUGUGCCAGCAGCCGCGGUAAGACAGAGGGUGCAAACGUUGUUCGGAAUUACUGGGCGUAAAGCGCGUGUAGGUGGCUUCGCAAGUCGAAUGUGAAAACCCCAGGCUCACCCUGGGAAGAGCAUCCGAAACUGCGUCGCUAGAGUCCCGGAGAGGAAGGUGGAAUGCUUGGUGUAGAGGUGAAAUUCGUAGAUAUCAAGCGGAACACCAGUGGCGAAGGCGGCCUUCUGGACGGUGACUGACACUGAGACGCGAAAGCGUGGGGAGCAAACAGG
rnacentral:rRNA from 1 species